CCCACCCACCAGAUAUAAUCAGACUUAGCACAUUUCAUCUUCAAAGCACUUUGCAAACAUUAAUUCAUUAAUCCUUUAACCCUCCUGUGAAGUAAUUAAGCCUUAUCCCUGUUUUACAGACCUCUUUAUCUUCAGAAUCUGCUCAUUCAUUUUUAGUGCACCCAUUACAAUAUCACAGCAAUAGAGAAAUCAUAGCACAGAGUUGUGCGGAGCCCCAUUUCAGGCCUGUUGAGCUCUGGAAAUCCCACAGGAGCUCCAGGACUUCAGGGAGGCCGCGGUUCUGCUUUGCUCCUGCAGGGCGUCCCCAUUUAAUUGCCCUGGUAAAGUUGUUGGUCAGCUGUUGGCCAAAACACUUCCACUACUGACAGAGCAUUUACUCACUUACAGCCUCAGCGGGCUUCACGUGCAAUGGGGCAGAAAAACAGACCCAGUCUAUAGAGCUACUGAAUAAUUCAUUUAACAAUAAUUGUUUGUCUUCCAAGGGAGCAAUUCGGAUGGGACAAUUCAAGAAACAGAACAAGCCAUAAUCAGAUCACAUUUAAUACCCAUCUGAGAGGCAAAGAGAAACAACUCUGUGUUUACAUCACAGUCCGGAUUCCUUCCUGUUGGUCUUCUGUUAACCUCCAGGAGGGCGGUGAGGCCGACAGCCUUCCCUGAGCUCCACCAGGACUGCUCUGCCCCACCGAGCAGCUCCCAGUGGCCCUCCCUGCACAGUUGGUUUUGGGAUCGCAGCAGAAACAAUCGUGCCUCUGUCUGUGAUGCGGCAGAGCAGAAUGAAUGGAUGCUGAAAUGAGAUGUUGUAUUGUGAGAACAGACGAAGGGCAUGGAAGAAAGCUCCUUUCUAUGGCUCAGUUUGUAGAGUCAGACGAGAGAGGGAUUUAUUUUUUGUUACUGGUCCAAUCAUCUGAUUGUGAGUGGAUGCCAGUAAAAACUGGGACUCCCCACAUCCUACCUUCCCUCUGCUCUAUUUAUUUUUGCACCUUCUGAGCACGUGGCAUCUCAGCAGCACCUCACCUGCUGCCCCAGAGGACGAAGCACGCCGGCAGGAGGAGGAGGAGGGCUGUGACACAUCCCCAUAGAACAGCGAGCAAAACCUUUCCCAGGCAUCGGAGCCGAGAGGACAUUUCCAGCGCCCCCUGAUUUCGCGAGGGGAAACUCCACCUCAAAGCAGCGCUGAGGGCACAGCAUCGGGAAUUUGUCCUGAAGAGCCCAGAAGGUGAACGUUGUAACCAGCAGGCAGGCUGACAAAGCACCAACAUUACUUGCGGGGCAGCCAGGACACACAGGAGCUGGUCUCCAAUAUCCUGGUGCAGGACAGCAGGAGCAUCCCUCUGCCUCUCACUGUCUCACCCAGGACCAAGGCUUCCUGGCAGGGAACUGGAGUGAAUCAUGCAGAAGGAGAGAACUGGAGCAGGAAAUACAGCUGCCAGGCUGACUCAGCACACGGCUUCUCUCUUGGACCUUGAACAGAUGGGAACUGUGAUCAGUGUUAAUGUUUAACUCCACCAAAAAUCCCCUGUUUAGCAAAAGACACCUGAAGCUCACCAGCUUUUCUGGAAGGAGGUGCUUUGCUUUGCCAGGAGAUGCGCUGAUGAUGAUUCCUCAGUGGCCAGAUCAGCAAUUGCACCUUUUAGCAGGCAAAUGAAAUCCAAAGGGCCUCACAACAGAGAAGCUCCAGGAAGGAGAUGGAUAAAAUCAGUUAAUCUCUGCAGGCCUGCACUAUGCUGGGCAUGUCAAGUCACACCAUAACUACAGAUCUGCUUUAUAGACCUCCAAUGUGUAGAGCAAUAACAAAGCAUGCAUCUGCGCAGAGGCCCGAAUUGUACAACAGUCACCAAUGAGCUGGAAAAUAAGUAAACAGUGAAGUGACAAAUCUACUGAUACGGAACUACUCAGGACAUCCAAACUGACUGGAAAGAGUCAGGAAGGAAUCCCACAUCACUGGGCAAUCCAACAACGAAUGCAAAUAUGAAGGGGCAAAGCUAGCUUGACUGUAAUUACACAGUGAUGAGGUCUAAGUUUGCUAUUUCUACUUAGAAAGGAGCUCAUGGAAUCAUGGGGUAGUGAGCUCUGCAUUCACUGGUGAAAACAAGCAGUAUUUUUAAAAAGAGACACAACAAGGAAGAAAAGAAAUCUGCACUGAUCCCAUAGGAUGCCAGCACUCAUUUUUUAUUGCACUUUACCUGCAAGGUUAACACUUGGGUGUGGUUUGGUUGGUUCUCUUUGUUGUGGUACUGACACGUGCUGUGUGAAAGAAGCAAUCCUGGAGUCUUAAACUGUGCCUAAAGGAGAGCUUGGAAAGGGCUGCAGGAGCCAACAAGGGCACUUGUGCUGUAACUCAUGUCUAUGCUGUAACUCUGUCUUUCUGGAACAGCUGUUUCCUGGAGGGCUUAAAGCCUCUCCUCCUCAGUCCCGCAGUCACCACAUCUGUGAUGGUAUCUCCUUUAAGUUAUGCUAUGC
ensembl:lncRNA